GAUUAUGGCUCAGAACGAACGCUGGCGGCAGGCUUAACACAUGCAAGUUGAGCGGGAUUCAAGGUAGCUUGCUAUUUGGAUGAGAGCAGCGCACUGGUGAGUAACACGUGGGAACAUACCUUUUGGUGGGGACAACAGUUGGAAACGACUGCUAAUACCGCAUAAGCCCUAAGGGGGAAAGAUUUAUUGCCGAAAGAUUGGCCCGCGGAAGAUUAGGUAGUAGGUGGGGUAACGGCCUACCUAGCCGACGAUCUAUAGCUGGUCUGAGAGGACGAUCAGCCACAUUGGAACUGAGACACGGUCCAGACUCCUACGGGAGGCAGCAGUGAGGAAUAUUGGGCAAUGGAGGCAACUCUGACCCAGCCCAUGCCGCGUGAGUGAAGAAGGUUUUCGGAUUGUAAAGCUCUUUCAGACGGGAAGAUGAUGACGGUACCGUCAGAAGAAGCACCGGCUAACUUCGUGCCAGCAGCAGC
rnacentral:rRNA from 1 species